AGCCGGGUCCUGAGCAACAGAGAAUCACGAACCCCGCCAGAUCCGGAAGGAAGCAACGGUAGUGACACUCUUUGUGUGCACAGGUAACCCGGCUAUC
rnacentral:SRP_RNA from 3 species